rnacentral:rRNA from 1 species
CAGGCUUAACACAUGCAAGUCGAGGGGCAGCAUGGUCUUAGCUUGCUAAGGCCGAUGGCGACCGGCGCACGGGCGAGUAACACGUAUCCAACCUGCCGUCUACUCUUGGACAGCCUUCUGAAAGGAAGAUUAAUACAAGAUGGCAUCAUGAGUCCGCAUGUUCACAUGAUUAAAGGUAUUCCGGUAGACGAUGGGGAUGCGUUCCAUUAGAUAGUAGGCGGGGUAACGGCCCACCUAGUCUUCGAUGGAUAGGGGUUCUGAGAGGAAGGUCCCCCACAUUGGAACUGAGACACGGUCCAAACUCCUACGGGAGGCAGCAGUGAGGAAUAUUGGUCAAUGGGCGAGAGCCUGAACCAGCCAAGUAGCGUGAAGGAUGACUGCCCUAUGGGUUGUAAACUUCUUUUAUAAAGGAAUAAAGUCGGGUAUGGAUACCCGUUUGCAUGUACUUUAUGAAUAAGGAUCGGCUAACUCCGUGCCAGCAGCCGCGGUAAUACGGAGGAUCCGAGCGUUAUCCGGAUUUAUUGGGUUUAAAGGGAGCGUAGAUGGAUGUUUAAGUCAGUUGUGAAAGUUUGCGGCUCAACCGUAAAAUUGCAGUUGAUACUGGAUAUCUUGAGUGCAGUUGAGGCAGGCGGAAUUCGUGGUGUAGCGGUGAAAUGCUUAGAUAUCACGAAGAACUCCGAUUGCGAAGGCAGCCUGCUAAGCUGCAACUGACAUUGAGGCUCGAAAGUGUGGGUAUCAAACAGGAUUAGAUACCCUGGUAGUCCACACGGUAAACGAUGAAUACUCGCUGUUUGCGAUAUACUGCAAGCGGCCAAGCGAAAGCGUUAAGUAUUCCACCUGGGGAGUACGCCGGCAACGGUGAAACUCAAAGGAGUUGACGGGGGCCCGCACAAGCGGAGGAACAUGUGGUUUAAUUCGAUGAUACGCGAGGAACCUUACCCGGGCUUAAAUUGCAGAUGAAUUACGGUGAAAGCCGUAAGCCGCAAGGCAUCUGUGAAGGUGCUGCAUGGUUGUCGUCAGCUCGUGCCGUGAGGUGUCGGCUUAAGUGCCAUAACGAGCGCAACCCUUGUUGUCAGUUACUAACAGGUUCCGCUGAGGACUCUGACAAGACUGCCAUCGUAAGAUGUGAGGAAGGUGGGGAUGACGUCAAAUCAGCACGGCCCUUACGUCCGGGGCUACACACGUGUUACAAUGGGGGGUACAGAGGGCCGCUACCACGCGAGUGGAUGCCAAUCCCCAAAACCUCUCUCAGUUCGGACUGGAGUCUGCAACCCGACUCCACGAAGCUGGAUUCGCUAGUAAUCGCGCAUCAGCCACGGCGCGGUGAAUACGUUCCCGGGCCUUGUACACACCGCCCGUCAAGCCAUGGGAGCCGGGGGUACCUGAAGUGCGUAACCGCGAGGAGCGCCCUAGGGUAAAACUGGUGACUGGGGC